UACGUAGGGACCGAGCGUUGUCCGGAUUCAUUGGGCGUAAAGAGCUCGUAGGCGGCCACUCAAGUCGAAUGUGAAAUCCCUCGGCUUAACCGGGGAACUGCGUCCGAUACUGGUUGGCUUGAGUUUGGGAGAGGGAAGCGGAAUUCCGGGUGUAGCGGUGAAAUGCGUAGAUAUCCGGAGGAACACCGGUGGCGAAGGCGGCUUCCUGGACCGACACUGACGCUGAGGCGCGAAAGCUAGGGGAGCAAACGGG
rnacentral:rRNA from 1 species